CAUAGCUAAGGAUAUAAGCUAUACAAACGAAAUUCAGGGGCAGAGUAAAAUUUCAUUUUAAAAUGAGUGUCAUAAUGUUCAUAUCUUUUCUAGCUAUCUUAAUUAAUGUUAUUGCUUGGCUAAUUUUCCUUAAGUGGUUAUGCAGCAGUGACUGCAGAGAACCCCAAGAGACAACCGGAUCUGAAUCAAACCAGAACCCUGAUGAUCCUCUUCCAAGCGCUCCUAUCACUUCCGUAGAAAUGUGCAUAUUGGACAUCGACCUGGUCCCAAAUUAUCAUACGGUCAUAUUAAGUGAUCCACUUGAAUCUCCAACUCUUGUUGACGAAACGUGCCCACCUCCAAGUUAUGCAGAGUAUUUACAGAACAAUAAUUUAAUCAGAUGACAAUUCCAGAUAUCUGUAGCAUUCAAUGUGUACAAGAGAAAUAAAAACCACCAACUAUAUUUUAUCCAA